CCUACGGGCGGCAGCAGUGGGGGAUAUUGCACAAUGGGGGGAACCCUGAUGCAGCGACGCCGCGUGGGUGAAGAAGCGCCUCGGCGCGUAAAGCCCUGUCAGCAGGGAAGAAAAUGACGGUACCUGCAGAAGAAGCCCCGGCUAACUACGUGCCAGCAGCCGCGGUAACACGUAGGGGGCAAGCGUUAUCCGGAUUUACUGGGUGUAAAGGGGGCGCAGACGGCGGUGCAGGCCAGGGGUGAAAGCCCGGGGCCCAACCCCGGGACUGCUCUUGGAACUGCGUGGCUGGAGUGCAGGAGGGGCAGGCGGAAUGCCUGGUGUAGCGGUGAAAUGCGUAGAUAUCAGGAGGAACACCGGUGGCGAAGGCGGCCUGCUGGACUGCAACUGACGUUGAGGCCCGAAAGCGUGGGGAGCAAACAGGAUUAGAUACCCCAGUAGUC
rnacentral:rRNA from 1 species